rnacentral:lncRNA from 1 species
CAGAGUGACUACUAUUAGAGCUGGUAGAGGAAGCAAUGGUGAUAUUAUGAGCGAGAAAGCAACUGCUGAUAUUAUGAGUGACAAAGCAAGUGGUGAUAUUAUGACCGGAGCUCCAUUUAGAACUUCAAGCAGUAAAAACUACAAUGUUGGAAAUCAUGUUAGAAUAUUGAAGUCUUGUGCAAUUUAAUAAACUCCAGUGAUGUAGCGUUGGUUGUACGGGUAUGCUUUUUCAUAUUUUCACAUCUUCUUUUAGGUUCACAAGGUGCAAACUAGAUAUAGAGUUCAUUUGCUAUCCAGCCAAGGAUCGUCAAGUGCUGCUUCAAAGUCC